GAUGGCGUUUGGCUGGAUGUGGAUGAGGGCCAUGGGGCAAGGUCACGGAGCACGAGGCCAAGGACCAAAGGAACUUGACGUGCUACCAGUGCAGACAUUUUGGACACUGGGCAAAACACUGUGUGAACAUACCAAAGACUGCCAGGUUUGAUCCCCAACAAUCCUUAUGUGAUUCCUGGACAUUGCUUUCAGGGGAAUACUGAGGCCACACAGAACAUCUACUGAAACACUGCUGAGGACCCCGGAGACAAUGUGGGUACAGCAGACCCCAUGUUGUCUGCAACAGUGGAAGGAAAACACACAGACUUCCUGGUUGACACCGGAGCCACACAUUCCACUCUGAACUCUGCUCCUCCUUUUUCUCUGACAUCAAGAACUGUGUCUUUAACAGGGUUCUCAGGGACUGAACAGAGUCUGCUAUUCACGAUGCCUCUGACCUUCACCUUGGGUAAUCAGAAUAUGAAACAUUCUUUUCAGCCUAAUGUCAACGUUCAUGGCCUGGAAGCCCUGGCUCCUGUGUCUGCGCUUCUGUGUCCCUCCUCCGGGUCCACCACACGUGACCCUGUUCUGCGACAGAGUCGUCUCUGAAUGGUACCAGGAACCUUUCCUUUCCACUUUGAAGGAAACAACCUGGCAGGUAAAAGUCUCGGACAUUUAUGUAGCUCCUGUUGGUGUAGCUGCUGCUGUCUCUUUCGCAAAAAAAAAAAAAAAAAAAAAAAAAUCAGAAUGGUAUUAAAUGUCUCACAUUUAUCUCUGUUUGCACCCUGAGCACCAAGUGAAAGAAUUGGGCGUGAUGAUGAAAUGUUCCCUGGCAGCCACAGAUUCGAUUGCCACAGCAGCACUAGGUUUGUUUUUCUCCCGCUCUCUUGAAAAAUAUAAGAUCAGUCAUUCAGGAUCUGAUCACAUAAUAAAUUUUGAAGUAAAAUGUAAUGCAAUUUUCCAUAAAUUAGUGACAUUAGGCAUUCUGAUGAGACUCCUUGCUUUAUAAAAUUAACAAUCUUCAAACAUAUUUCCCAGCAUACCUACAUUUCUUAUUUAAAUAGUUUCUUUCUAUUGUUUGGUAAGAUAUUCCAAUUUAAUCUGUCAUAUUUCCAUUAACUGUGAGCAUAAAAUUAUUAUCAUUACUAGACUUAAAGACUUUAGUUAAAAUAAAUUCACAUCUAAAUAUGCAAUGCACAUAAAUAUUUUUAACAUUGACUGUUCCCUCAUAAUAAAUUCGAUUUUAGUUUAACCAGGUUUUGCAAGAUAUUUUGCAGGACUGCCCACUAGACCUUUUGCUUGCUGCACCAACUACGGAGACCUGCGUUAAAGCCACCUCUCUGGUUUUGCAGCGCCUGUGUCAAACAGGUUUUAAGGUCAGUAAUAACAAAUUGCAGAUUGCUCGAAAACAGGCUAUGUUUCUGGGUAGAAUAAUUUCAGCAGGAACGACUGGCAUGUCCCCAUUGAACAAGCUUUUGCCUCUCUCAAACAACACAUGGCGUCAGCUGCAGAGCUCUCCAUCCCUGACUACACUACAGUUCUUUUUGGAUAUUUCUGUAACAAAACUGGCUGUUAAAGGUGUUUUGUUUCAGAAAAAGGGGGAAAAGGGUAUCACCCUUGUACGCAACAGGCAGCUGGGAUACCCGAUACAAAAACUGAACACAUAGUCAUGGGACAUUCACUGAGUUUCACCAUGACAGCGUUGAGACAACAAACACUUUCCAAAGUCCUGAAAGCUCCAAACAUUUCAUUCACACACCAAGACAUAAAUAUGGCAGACUGUUUUUCAGAAGGAGAACCACACGUGUGUGCAGACCUGGUGGCAAAGACAGACAAGGUAACACCAGGACUUCAGCAGCUCCUCUGCUGGGACCAGAGGUGAGACAGUUCUUUACAGAUGGUUGUUGUUUCAGAAACAA